rnacentral:ncRNA from 2 species
GUGCUCGCUUCGGCAGCACAUA